GCCCGCUUAGCUCAGUGGUAGAGCGCGCCACUUGUAAGUUCCAAGAACUUAGUGAUGGUGAGGUCGGUUGUUCAAUCCAGCCAGUGGGCA
rfam:Phlebiopsis gigantea 11061_1 CR5-6 unplaced genomic scaffold PHLGIscaffold_150, whole genome shotgun sequence.